UGUGUGUGUAUGUGUGUGUGUGUAUGUAUAUGUGAUAUAGGUAUGGGUAGGUAUAGGCAUAGGUAGGUAUAGGUAUAGUCAUAGGUAGGUAUAGGCAUAGGUAGGUAUAGGUAUAGGUA